GCGGUGUGUACAAAGGGCAGGGACGUAAUCAACGCGAUCUGAUGAAUCACGCUUACUAGGUAUUCCUCGUUGAAGAACAAUAAUUCCACCGGGGUUUUCCCAUCCCGACAGAGUUUCACAAGAUUACCCAUACCUUCCGGCAAAGGUGGUAGACUCGCUGGCUCUGUCAGUGUAGCGCGCGUGCGGCCCAGAACAUCUAAGGGCAUCACAGA
rnacentral:misc_RNA from 1 species